GGUCUAUAGCACAGCACCCUGAACAUGGUUGAUUUCAUCUGCUCUCAGAAGAUAAGUAGGGUGGGCCUGCUCAGUGCUUGGAUCGGGGAGAUGCUGAUUCAGCAGAUCU
rnacentral:rRNA from 1 species